UUAAGCGACUAAGCGUACACGGUGGAUGCCCUGGCAGUCAGAGGCGAUGAAGGACGUGCUAAUCUGCGAUAAGCGUCGGUAAGGUGAUAUGAACCGUUAUAACCGGCGAUUUCCGAAUGGGGAAACCCAGUGUGAUUCGUCACACUAUCAUUAACUGAAUCCAUAGGUUAAUGAGGCGAACCGGGGGAACUGAAACAUCUAAGUACCCCGAGGAAAAGAAAUCAACCGAGAUUCCCCCAGUAGCGGCGAGCGAACGGGGAGCAGCCCAGAGCCUGAAUCAGUGUGUGUGUUAGUGGAAGCGUCUGGAAAGGCGCGCGAUACAGGGUGACAGCCCCGUACACAAAAAUGCACAUGCUGUGAGCUCGAUGAGUAGGGCGGGACACGUGGUAUCCUGUCUGAAUAUGGGGGGACCAUCCUCCAAGGCUAAAUACUCCUGACUGACCGAUAGUGAACCAGUACCGUGAGGGAAAGGCGAAAAGAACCCCGGCGAGGGGAGUGAAAAAGAACCUGAAACCGUGUACGUACAAGCAGUGGGAGCACGCUUAGGCGUGUGACUGCGUACCUUUUGUAUAAUGGGUCAGCGACUUAUAUUCUGUAGCAAGGUUAACCGAAUAGGGGAGCCGAAGGGAAACCGAGUCUUAACUGGGCGUUAAGUUGCAGGGUAUAGACCCGAAACCCGGUGAUCUAGCCAUGGGCAGGUUGAAGGUUGGGUAACACUAACUGGAGGACCGAACCGACUAAUGUUGAAAAAUUAGCGGAUGACUUGUGGCUGGGGGUGAAAGGCCAAUCAAACCGGGAGAUAGCUGGUUCUCCCCGAAAGCUAUUUAGGUAGCGCCUCGUGAAUUCAUCUCCGGGGGUAGAGCACUGUUUCGGCAAGGGGGUCAUCCCGACUUACCAACCCGAUGCAAACUGCGAAUACCGGAGAAUGUUAUCACGGGAGACACACGGUGGGUGCUAACGUCCGUCGUGAAGAGGGAAACAACCCAGACCGCCAGCUAAGGUCCCAAAGUCAUGGUUAAGUGGGAAACGAUGUGGGAAGGCCCAGACAGCCAGGAUGUUGGCUUAGAAGCAGCCAUCAUUUAAAGAAAGCGUAAUAGCUCACUGGUCGAGUCGGCCUGCGCGGAAGAUGUAACGGGGCUAAACCAUGCACCGAAGCUGCGGCAGCGACGCUGAUGCGUUGUUGGGUAGGGGAGCGUUCUGUAAGCCUGCGAAGGUGUGCUGUGAGGCAUGCUGGAGGUAUCAGAAGUGCGAAUGCUGACAUAAGUAACGAUAAAGCGGGUGAAAAGCCCGCUCGCCGGAAGACCAAGGGUUCCUGUCCAACGUUAAUCGGGGCAGGGUGAGUCGACCCCUAAGGCGAGGCCGAAAGGCGUAGUCGAUGGGAAACAGGUUAAUAUUCCUGUACUUGGUGUUACUGCGAAGGGGGGACGGAGAAGGCUAUGUUGGCCGGGCGACGGUUGUCCCGGUUUAAGCGUGUAGGCUGGUUUUCCAGGCAAAUCCGGAAAAUCAAGGCUGAGGCGUGAUGACGAGGCACUACGGUGCUGAAGCAACAAAUGCCCUGCUUCCAGGAAAAGCCUCUAAGCAUCAGGUAACAUCAAAUCGUACCCCAAACCGACACAGGUGGUCAGGUAGAGAAUACCAAGGCGCUUGAGAGAACUCGGGUGAAGGAACUAGGCAAAAUGGUGCCGUAACUUCGGGAGAAGGCACGCUGAUAUGUAGGUGAAGUCCCUCGCGGAUGGAGCUGAAAUCAGUCGAAGAUACCAGCUGGCUGCAACUGUUUAUUAAAAACACAGCACUGUGCAAACACGAAAGUGGACGUAUACGGUGUGACGCCUGCCCGGUGCCGGAAGGUUAAUUGAUGGGGUUAGCGCAAGCGAAGCUCUUGAUCGAAGCCCCGGUAAACGGCGGCCGUAACUAUAACGGUCCUAAGGUAGCGAAAUUCCUUGUCGGGUAAGUUCCGACCUGCACGAAUGGCGUAAUGAUGGCCAGGCUGUCUCCACCCGAGACUCAGUGAAAUUGAACUCGCUGUGAAGAUGCAGUGUACCCGCGGCAAGACGGAAAGACCCCGUGAACCUUUACUAUAGCUUGACACUGAACAUUGAGCCUUGAUGUGUAGGAUAGGUGGGAGGCUUUGAAGUGUGGACGCCAGUCUGCAUGGAGCCGACCUUGAAAUACCACCCUUUAAUGUUUGAUGUUCUAACGUGGACCCGUAAUCCGGGUUGCGGACAGUGUCUGGUGGGUAGUUUGACUGGGGCGGUCUCCUCCUAAAGAGUAACGGAGGAGCACGAAGGUUGGCUAAUCCUGGUCGGACAUCAGGAGGUUAGUGCAAUGGCAUAAGCCAGCUUGACUGCGAGCGUGACGGCGCGAGCAGGUGCGAAAGCAGGUCAUAGUGAUCCGGUGGUUCUGAAUGGAAGGGCCAUCGCUCAACGGAUAAAAGGUACUCCGGGGAUAACAGGCUGAUACCGCCCAAGAGUUCAUAUCGACGGCGGUGUUUGGCACCUCGAUGUCGGCUCAUCACAUCCUGGGGCUGAAGUAGGUCCCAAGGGUAUGGCUGUUCGCCAUUUAAAGUGGUACGCGAGCUGGGUUUAGAACGUCGUGAGACAGUUCGGUCCCUAUCUGCCGUGGGCGCUGGAGAAUUGAGGGGGGCUGCUCCUAGUACGAGAGGACCGGAGUGGACGCAUCACUGGUGUUCGGGUUGUCAUGCCAAUGGCACUGCCCGGUAGCUAAAUGCGGAAGAGAUAAGUGCUGAAAGCAUCUAAGCACGAAACUUGCCCCGAGAUGAGUUCUCCCUGACUCCUUGAGAGUCCUGAAGGAACGUUGAAGACGACGACGUUGAUAGGCCGGGUGUGUAAGCGCAGCGAUGCGUUGAGCUAACCGGUACUAAUGAACCGUGAGGCUUAACCUU
rnacentral:rRNA from 1 species